UAUCCGUUGGUGAACCAGCGGAGGGAUCAUUACCGAGUUAUUCAACUCCCAAACCCACUGUGAACCUUACCAUCUGUUGCUUCGGCGGGACUGCCCCGGGCGCGCCCCACGGCCGACCCGGAACCAGGCGCCCGCCGGAGGUCAUAAACUCUACAGUUUUCCUUAGCGGCAUUAUUCUGAGUGGCUUUUAAGCAAAAAAAUGAAUCAAAACUUUCAACAACGGAUCUCUUGGUUCUG
rnacentral:misc_RNA from 1 species